UCCCUUUCAGACCGUAACAUCAGGCUCCACAAUUAAGAGCUUUUAUGCAUCAUGGAGUUCAGCAUCACUACGUGGAAGAAGCCAGCAGUUGCCUAACAGAGCAGGAUCCUCAGAGCUACAGGAGGCUGCUUUUGAACAUUCAUAGAGAAGAUGAUUUUACAGGACACACCACUGUGAUACCAUGGCAUGACUGGAAGGGCCAUAUACACAGAAGAAGGUCUCAGCUAUGCUCCCUAUCUGAGAAGACAUAAGUUGGGCUGGCAACUGUAGCAACAGGGGGUGGACUCUCUGUGCCAAACCUGCUACAUCAUCUGGCUCCAAAGAAAUCUCAGCUACUAAGUGGUUAGUACCAUGAAAAAUAAAAACCCACACCACCAGCAACAACAAAAAAACAGUAGCAAUGUUAACCCAUCUCAACUAUAGAAAUAGUUGUGCAGGGAAAAUCCAAAAGGACACAAACACGCACUGAAUACGUAUGGCCACUGGGUGUCAUUGUUUACUUCACCAUGUAACAUUUAUCCUUUUCUCUAUAAACAUGAAUUACUUCUGGAUGUAGUCAUGAAGGUGUAUUUAAUCAUUGUCUGAAAUUUGUUAUGUGUCCAUUAAUUAGCUAAAAUUAAACA